CAUUAAUUCGAUAAGGGAGUCAAAGUUGUAGGUUUUUGAAGUGAGAGAGACCUCCAGGUUUCGGGAUUCCAAUAAUAGAAGUGAGUUUCGUUUAACACAUGUGCGAGUUACAUGAGUCCCUGACCUUAGGAAUUCACAGAAAUUAGGUUUGCAUUUUGGUGUAAAUUUUCAUCAUGAUGUGCUAAUUCAAAUUAUUGUGAGUUAGAGCCUGCUUGAAAAGUGUAACAAACCAAAAGGGUGGACCUAUGUUUUCGACAUUUUAUUAUUGCAUCCAAGUUUUAUGCCUAUCAGAGUAAACAAAACCUCGAGGAAAAGGACUAGUCGAGUAAUUUGAAUUUUGAAGUGUAUUCUUUAUACGACAGAACACCUUGAUGGCUUCAGCGAUAUCUUAUCUAAGCGAACUGGGUUUCUUACCCUGGUUUCCAGUAGCUAUUCUAUCUUUUGAGAAAAAGAUUUUGCUUAAAUCUAGAGAUAGCUAGGGUUUGGAAUUAAGUGGGACAGCCUAGUUCUUCCGAGAGUUGGGUGCAAUCCCAAAUGAUAUACCUCAAGUCGCCUGGAGACGAUAAUAUAAGUUUAGGCACAUUUUUGCAGUUUGUUGGAUCCGUGUGUAUUUUGAAGUAUCUAGAAACUACAUUUGAGGGCACUUAUCUUCCUUUUCUUCUUUAUGUUGGCUUACUACCAUUAGCAUUUAUAAUUUCUUACGAGGUAAUUUUUGCAGUGCAACGAAAUCAGAAAGAUUAGCAGCAGCAUGGCUGUGAUUGGGAAAACCGCUGUCGACAACGAUAAAGAAGACUACGACAAUGAUCCUGACGAUGACGACGUAGACAAUGCAGAGGACUCCGAGGGGGAAGAGUUUGAGCAGGAAACCAGUUGAAAUUGCUGACUACCCUCGUUCUGUUUCUGUUUGGACGGCCACAAACCUACAUCGAAUGCGGCUUUUAAGUUCUUUACGCGUAUCGUCAUACAUUAUCUUAAACAAAUUUGCUGAACUGUGCCACUUCUCUCUAUGGAUAAAGAUAAAGCUUGUGCCUUUUGUGUUUCUCUGUCCUCUUUCAUGGUCCUUAAUUAGUACUAAAACAUAUCCGUACUCUUGCUUGUGAAAAAGAAAAAGAAAAAGGAAAAGAGAUCAUUCAAGAAGGUAGUGUCUUCCACUUACGAGCCGUUCAGACCUUUUUACUUUAGGAUAAGAACUUACAUGAAACGAGUUUGUUGCUUCGUGGCGUCUUGUAUCCAAUAAUACAUUGACGAGUGCAAGCUUUUCUUCACAUGAUAAUAUAUUAUUAAAAUGGACAUCAUGUGACGGUGGACUCAUUUCAUAUAAGUUGCUCCCUAAGUUUAAAGAUAUGUACUAAAGAUAUUGUUAAUAUGUGUUAUUGGAGUUUCAAUGGAUUAGGUAGAUGGGCAGCUCCCGGAAAUUUGAUUUUUGUUGCCCUUGCCGGGAGGCGUUGGAGGAUGUUGGUCCAACAAUUGGGGAUGAAUUUCAAAUCCGUAUUCGAAACGGUAUGUUCUGAAUUCAAUUACUAACGCUGGUAAACACGCGAUGGUGGUCAGAACGAGACUAAAAUAUGAGUCUUCCCGGCACCAGACUAUCGUGACAAAACCGUCAAAUGAUCUUUUUUGUAUAAAAUAGGUAAAUUGCUUAGAUUGAAUUUUUCUUUGCAAGAAUUAUAAUACUUAAAAAAAUAGACAGUUUAGAUUGCUGUAAAACAACGUCGAGCCGGCUCCUAAAACUUCUCCAUUCUUUAGUUAUCACUUCCUUUGAAACUAUUCGUUAAGUCAAAUAGCUCAAAUUAGUCUAUUUUCCUUUAUGCAUAUAUACGAAUUGCCCCUGAUUUCGAGCUAAGUGAAAUUUCAAUCCAAAUGACAAAGAGGGAAAUGCUCCAAUGGCUGGAGAUUUUGACAAAAAGGAGCCCUGAUUUGAAGUUUUGAAGGCUAAUGAAGUCUAAUUUUGAGAAAAAAGGAGCCUAAUUUUGUGAAAUUGUAACCAAAGUAACAAAUAUUUUUUUAUUUUUUUAUUUUUUUAUCACCAUUUGAUUUGGAGGAUCGAAUUAUUUCCUCUGUUUUCUUUUGUGCUAGUUUUUGUGGGAAAUUCUUCGUAGGGUAAGAUAUGCUUGUAAAGCUUCGAAGGAUUUUGUUUGGUUUACUUGGAUGCACCUUGUCGAAAGUUCCUUCUUUUGGUGGUCCAAAAUUUGAAACGUUUCGGUUUUUAAUCCUAUAAGCUGUGUGAGCUCUACUGAUGAUUACGAAACGUUUGUUUUGGUCACAUUUGUUGUCUGUAGGUGUAAGAGCUAGGUUAAGUUAUGGAAAACUAAGAAAGUUGGAUUAUUUUGAGACUUGGUAGCCUUAAUGCCUGUGUACUGGAUUCAAAUUCUCGUUGCUAUGUAUGUCUCGUUCGGAGUCUGUAAUUCUCCGUUUUGAUUCUGAACAUUAUAUGUUUGUGGCGGCGAAUCAUGCCACUCCUGUGGGGAAGGACAAAGGACAGCAUCCUAACACAGCAUUAGAAUCCAGCAGCUAGAAGAACGGGCACUGCUCAAUGAUUUUUUUCCUUGAAGUGAGAGAGACCUCAUGGUUUCGGGAUUCCGGUAACAACUUUUUUUGCUUAAAUCUAAAGAUAGCGAAGGUUUGGAAUAAGUGGGAGGAUGCCCGGAAGGCAAGCAAAUGUCUCAUGGGGGACAGCCUCGUUCUUCCGAGAGUCGGGUGCAAUCCCAACUGGUAUACCUUAAGUCGCCUGGAGACGAUAAGUGAAGGCACAUUUUUGCAGUUUGUCGGAUCUGUGUGUAUUUCUAAGUGUCUUCAAACUACAGUUACGUUAUUAUAUCAUUAUACUACUGUGUUUUAGCACUUAUCUUUCUGUUCUUCUUUAAGUUGGCUUCAUCUGAGGUAAUUUUUGCAGUGCAAUGAAAUCAGAGAGAGUAGAAGCAGCAUGGCUGUGAUUGGGAAACCGCUGUCGACAACGAUAAAGAAGACUACGACAAUGAUCCAGACGAUGACGAUGUAGAUAACGCAGAGGACUCCGAGGGGGAAGAGAUUGAGCAGGAAACGAGUUGAAAUUGCUGACAACCCUCACUCCGUUUCUGUUUGGACGGCCACAAACCUACAUCGAAUGCGGCUUUUAAGUUCUUUACGCGUAUCGUCAUACAUUAUCUUAUACAAAUUUGCUGAACUGUGCCACUUCUCUCCAUGGAUAAAGAUAAAGCUUGUGCC
rnacentral:lncRNA from 1 species